UGAGGAUUUCUGAACGUUCGCUGGAGACCGGAGUGAAGACGUUGAUGGUCAGUAACAAGCAUUUUCUGUGAUGGAUCAUGACUUGGAAAUAGAGAUGGAGGUUACUUGUAACCGAUGAUCAUAUAUGACCCCGAACUGUUGAAGAAUCUUUCGCAAUUUGUUUUUAGUGAAAUGUAAAUAAAUGUGUAGUUGUUAGUUUUCGGUUUUUCGUAAGAUUUCCCCUUACGAAAAUUCAGUUUACACUGAAUUUUCGUAAUUUAAGCAUGGAGUGAUGUAACAGUUGGCCUGUUUGGCAAAAUUAUUUGUUUAUUUGUUUGAAUGUUAAAUGUUAUUUAUUUACAUUUUGCAAUAAAUUCCGUGUAAUCAAACUCCGCUUGCACUCUUCGGUAAACAUCUCUGUAGUAUUCACCACGGUAACUCAACCUGUUUUGGACCGAUUGCGGUAAGACCCGGAGAGAGACUCUUGAGAGAGAUGAGCCGAUCUUGAACUACCUCAGUGAGAGAACACCACAGCUAGACCCGAGAACACAGUUGCUAAAAAGGGAUGGGGAGUUCGCUACUUCUGUCGCACGCAGUUAUCCAGAGAGCAUCUCAAGGAAUGACGUAAUUCCGGUCAAACCGCUUGAGCGUCCGUUGCGACCUUCCCUAUUCUGAGGACUCCAGGGCUCGUUCACUUUGUCCCCAGCUAUCAACGAGAGUGGAAGUGCGCGUUUUGUACCGCGAGUUUUUGGCUUUUUGUACAAAAUUUUCCCGUUAGUUAGUCGUGUGUGCGCUAGUGCUAAAAAUUGUCUAAUUUGUGUGCGAACAGGAGAAAAGCAUUCGCCCGUUAGCAACAGCGCUAACCAUCCCGCAGCAGCACCAGUCCAGCAGCAGCGCGAACACACGAGCAGCAGAGCAGAGGAAAACGGAGACGAAGUUCCCCGCGCACCGCACUUCUCGUUGCGCCGAACGUCACCAGGCGAAGCACGAGGACGAAGAGCGUGAGCGCACGCUAGGCGGCGAUCCGUCAACACAUCGCCCCGGUGAAGAAGGGAGGGUCCCUGAACCACCACUGAAGGACAGCGGAGAUCGUUAGUCCCGGC